rnacentral:hammerhead_ribozyme from 1 species
AUCUAGCCGACGAAUCCCGAAUAGGACGAAACGUGCGUCCCGAAU